rnacentral:tRNA from 1 species
GCGCCCGUAGCUCAGCUAGGCAGAGCAACACCCUUUUAAGGUGAUGGUCGGGGGUUCGAUUCCCUCCGGGCGUA